rnacentral:rRNA from 1 species
UGGGGAAUAUUGCACAAUGGACGGAAGUCUGAUGCAGCAACGCCGCGUGCGGGAUGACGGCCUUCGGGCUGUAAACCGCUUUUUCUCAUGACGAAGUUUUUUGACGGUAGUGGGGGAAGAAGCACCGGCUAACUACGUGCCAGCAGCCGCGGUGAUACGUAGGGUGCGAGCGUUGUCCGGAAUUAUUGGGCGUAAAGAGCUUGUAGGCGGUUUGUCGCGUCGAUAGUGCAAACUCAGUGCUUAACGCUGAGCCUGCUGUUGAUACGGGCAGACUAGAGGAAGGUAGGGGAGAAUGGAAUUCCCGGUGGAGCGGUGGAAUGCGCAGAUAUCGGGAGGAACACCGGUGGCGAAGGCGGUUCUCUGGGCCUUUCCUGACGCUGAGAAGCGAAAGCGUGGGGAGCGAACAGG